rnacentral:rRNA from 1 species
AAUCAACGCUGGCGGCGCGCUUAACACAUGCAAGUCGAACGAGAAAGGGGAGCAAUCCCUGAGUACAGUGGCGUACGGGUGAGUAACACGUGGAUGAUCUACCUCUUAGUGGGGAAUACCUCUGGGAAACCGGAGACAAUACCGCAUAAGCCUGUGAGGGGAAAGCAGCAAUGCGCUGAGAGAGGAGUCCGCGGCCGAUUAGCUAGUUGGUAGGGUAAAGGCCUACCAAGGCAAAGAUCGGUAGCCGGCCUGAGAGGGCACACGGCCACACUGGCACUGAAACACGGGCCAGACUCCUACGGGAGGCAGCAGUGGGGAAUCUUGCACAAUGGGGGAAACCCUGAUGCAGCGACGCCGCGUGAGCGAUGAAGCCCUUCGGGGUGUAAAGCUCUUUCGACGGGAACGAUGAUGACGGUACCCGGAGAAGAAGCUGCGGCUAACUACGUGCCAGCAGCCGCGGUAAGUCUCGCGUGA